GGAGUUAGCCGGUGCUUCUUCUGUGAGUGAUGUCCUUCCUGCCGGCUAUUAACCCGCAGGCCUUCUUCCUCACUGAAAGUGCUUUACAACCCGAAGGCCUUCUUCACACACGCGGCAUGGCUGGAUCAGGGUUGCCCCCAUUGUCCAAUAUUCCCCACUGCUGCCUCCCGUAGGAGUCUGGGCCGUGUCUCAGUCCCAGUGUGGCUGAUCAUCCUCUCAGACCAGCUACGGAUCGUCGCCUUGGUGAGCCGUUACCUCACCAACCAGCUAAUCCGACAUAGGCUCAUCCGAUAGCGCGAGGCCCGAAGGUCCCCCGCUUUCCCCCGUAGGGCGUAUGCGGUAUUAGCCUGGGUUUCCCCCAGGGUUAUCCCCCACUACCGGGCAGAUUCCUAUGCAUUACUCACCCGUCCGCCGCUCGCCACCAGGGAGCAAGCUCCCCGUGCUGCCGCUCGACUUGCAUGUGUUAGGCCUGCCGCCAGCGUUCAAUCUGAGCCAUAAUCAAACUCUGA
rnacentral:rRNA from 1 species